UCUCCGUAGGUGAACCUGCGGAGGGAUCAUUACAGAGUUCUCGCCCUCGCGGGUAGACCUCCCACCCACUGUUAUCGUUACUGUCGUUUCUUUGGCUGGCCGCCGGGUCACCGGCGGCCGGCGUCUAAUAGGCGGCGCGCGCCCGCCAGAGGCAUUCGUACCCUGAAUGUUAGUGUCGUCUGAGUACUAUAUAAUAGUUAAAACUUUCAACAACGGAACUCUUGGUUCUG
rnacentral:misc_RNA from 1 species